rnacentral:misc_RNA from 1 species
UGAUGCAAAAUUCUAAAUAUCUUGACCCUUGAAUUUAUCCGACUCUUGUUUCUCUAGCUGACUUACCGAUCUUAUCCUUUUACCAACAACCCGUAACACUUUACUUCACACUCUAAAAUCAAAACUCUGAUGGAAACCCUCCCUUAGAUCCUUUAACAAUAAAAAAUAACAAACUUUAUGGUUCAAAACAUGAAUAAGUUCUUUCACAUGCUCAAUACCGAUG